rnacentral:rRNA from 1 species
UUGCCAGCCCGCUCAGAAACUCAAAGGAAUUGACGGGGCCCGCACAAGCGGAGGAGCAUGUGGUUUAAUUCGAUGAUACGCGAGGAACCUUACCUGGGCUCGAACGUAAGAUGACUGUAGGUGAAAGCUUACAUCUCUUCGGAGCAUUUUACGAGGUGCUGCAUGGUUGUCGUCAGCUCGUGCCGUGAGGUGUCGGGUUAAGUCCCAUAACGAGCGCAACCCCUACCUUUAGUUGCCAUCAGGUAAUGCUGGGGACUCUAAAGGAACUGCCUACGCAAGUAGUGAGGAAGGCGGGGAUGACGUCAAAUCAGCACGGCCCUUACGUCCAGGGCUACACACGUGCUACAAUGGCCGAUACAGAGGGCAGCUACCUGGUGACAGGAUGCAAAUCUCCAAAGUCGGUCUCAGUUCGGAUCGGAGUCUGCAACCCGACUCCGUGAAGUUGGAUUCGCUAGUAAUCGCGCAUCAGCCAUGGCGCGGUGAAUACGUUCCCGGGCCUU